rnacentral:lncRNA from 1 species
UUGAGGUGGCCAGACAUCCCUAAAAAUCAGAUAUUCCUUGAGUGUCCACCAUUACGGUUUCUUGUUUGUUUUUUUCCUAUUCAGUGAACACGAAGACCGAAACAGAAUGUCUGAAGAGCUUAUAAUGGUUGUCCAAGAAAUGAAAAAGUAUUUCCCAGCCGAGAGGCACACUAAGCCCAGUACCCUAGAUGCUCUUAACUAUGCCCUGCGCUGUGUACACAGUGUGCAAGGUAAAUGCAUUGCAGCGAAUAGGGUGGCGCUGGGCUCAGUCCUCAUGUGCAGUGGAACUCCAGCCUCCAGAGGCUUGGGCUUUAUUUGUAGCCAAGACAAGCAAGUCUAAAGCUGAUGUAAGUGGUGCUUUAGGCUUUCCAAGUUUGAAAAGCCAGCAGAACGUUAUUUGUCUGACAGUUUAGUAACUGUGCAAUAUUGUGCCUAUCUGUUGCAAGAGUAAAGAGUUGAGCAGUUUAAGUAAAACUCAGAGGACUUUUUCAAGGAGCAUUGCCUUCCAUGGAGAUUACACGAGCAAAUACAUGUCUGGGUUGUUUUUUUCUGUCAUGCACACACUUUGGAAAUGCAGUUGUAGUAUAUACAAAAUAGACUAAAUCAAAGAACAAAUGUUUUUCCUUCCCCCAGCAGAAACCGCUUUGCUCAGUCUGUGAUCAAUAGUUUGUGAAUUCUAGUGUUUCCUCCAUUAAAAAAAUAUAUGUGUGUAUCUGGACUUUGAUUUUAUUAACUAGCUUUAGAACUUCUAGUGAAUCUUGCUCCUUGUAACCCAGAGCAGGCAGGAUUCAUAAAACUCAUAGUCUUGAGUUUGCAUACCUAACCUUGCAUUCCUAACCAUAUCCUUGAUGCAAACAAAAAAAUCACCUGGUUUUGAGGGAAACCCACGUAAGGGAUCGUCAUCUAAGGAAAUACACCAACCUUAGCGUGCUGAGAAAUGACUUCUUAAAGAUACGCUUGUCACCACUCUGUGUGUCUAUCUCCCUGUCUUUCUUAGCAAACAGUGACUUUUUCCAGAGUCUCGGUCCACGCGGAGCACACCAGGCAGAUGUGACUGUAUACAGUCUUGAGGACCUCACCGCUCUGGCUUCUGAACAUACUUCUAAGAACACAGUAAGAUUUAAUGAGUUUUGCCAUCUCCACCUGGUGACUCUUCCUAGGGACCUUUUCUGGGUGUUAAAAUAGUCACUGGAAGUUUCACUUGCUGAGGGAAAAAAAAAAGGGUGAAAGUUCUAAAAAGGUACUAUGAGGUCUCCUGCCCAUACCAGAGAUCCUGUCUGAAGGUAGACGCGACCCCUGGCCCCUUGUGCUGUAUCAUAGUUUCCUGUGCUUAGCCAGCAGGUAAUGCCCUCCCCCUCAGCAUCCCCUGUUCUCUCACAG